rnacentral:rRNA from 1 species
AUUGAACGCUGGCGGCAGGCCUAACACAUGCAAGUCGAAUGGUGACAGGAAACAGCUUGCUGUUUCGCUGACGAGUGGCGGACGGGUGAGUAAUGUCUGGGAAACUGCCUGAUGGAGGGGGAUAACUACUGGAAACGGUAGCUAAUACCGCAUAACGUCGCAAGACCAAAGAGGGGGACCUUCGGGCCUCUUGCCAUCAGAUGUGCCCAGAUGGGAUUAGCUAGUAGGUGGGGUAACGGCUCACCUAGGCGACGAUCCCUAGCUGGUCUGAGAGGAUGACCAGCCACACUGGAACUGAGACACGGUCCAGACUCCUACGGGAGGCAGCAGUGGGGAAUAUUGCACAAUGGGCGCAAGCCUGAUGCAGCCAUGCCGCGUGUAUGAAGAAGGCCUUCGGGUUGUAAAGUACUUUCAGCGGGGAGGAAGGGAGUAAAGUUAAUACCUUUGCUCAUUGACGUUACCCGCAGAAGAAGCACCGGCUAACUCCGUG